rnacentral:rRNA from 1 species
AGAUUGAACGCUGGCGGCAUGCCUAACACAUGCAAGUCGAACGGGAGUAGCAAUACUCUAGUGGCGGACGGGUGAGGAAUACGUAGGAAUUUGCCCUUAAGUGGGGGAUAACCCGGGGAAACCCGGAUUAAUACCGCAUGACCUCGAAAGAGCAAAGUGGGGGAUCGCAAGACCUCACGCUUUUGGAGAAGCCUACGUCGGAUUAGCUAGUUGGUGAGGUAAUGGCUCACCAAGGCGACGAUCCGUAACUGGUCUGAGAGGAUGAUCAGUCACACCGGAACUGAGACACGGUCCGGACUCCUACGGGAGCAGCAGUGGGGAAUAGUCGGACAAGUGGGCGCAAGCCUGAUCCAGCAAUGCCGCGUGUGUGAAGAAGGCCUUCGGUUGUAAGCUACGUUUAAGUUAGGGAAAGAAAAACUCGACUACUAACAC